AUGAAUGAAAGCUUCUGCCCAAUAAUGUCGUGGAAUGUCCGCGGCCUAAACCAGCCGGCGAAACGGGCGGCGAUCUGCGAGGUAGUCGCAGUGCACAAAGCAGCAAUCCUAUGCCUGCAGGAAACCAAGAUAGAUGUAUGGACACCUACCAUCGUCAGGGAAAUUGGUGGCGCCGCCCUGACUGAUUGCGUUGUCCUCCCUGCGAUCGGCUCCUGCGGCGGAGCGGCGAUCUUCUGGAACACCGAAUUAGUUAGCAUCGCUUCCCACGCCAUAGGUGAAUUCGCGAUCACUGCCAAGGUGAUGCUUCUCUGGCAAUCCAAAAGCUUCUGGCUUUCCACAGUUUACGGCCCAGUGGACGACGCUAGAAAAGCAGCCUUCCUCGACAAGCUAGCUAGAACUGCUCCCCCGACACCUGAACCAUGGCUCAUCAACGGAGAUUUUAAUCUCAUCUAUGAGGCGAGAGACAAAAACAACCAUCAGCUCAACCGCAGGGUCAUGGGCAUGUUCAGGCGGGCCAUUGACGUCACUGGCCUCAAAGAGAUCAAGUGCAAAAAUCAUCGUUUCACCUGGAGUAACGAGCAUGAGAACCCGACGCUCGUCAGCAUCGACAAGUUCUUCUGCAACAACAGCUGGGAAGAUCUUUUACCCACAAGCACACUGAUGGCAGCGUCCACCGCGUGCUCGGACUACUGCCCUCUGCUCCUCGCGGAUGCAGCGGCUCCUCGCCGUCGCGCCAAGUUCAAAUUUGAAAGCUUCUAG
rnacentral:rRNA from 1 species